UCCAAUCGAUCUCUCCCAGGACCCUCAGAGAGAUCUGAACCUGCAGCUUCUGAGCUCCUGGGGAGGUUGACAGAGGCUGGUCCUGCAAACUUAGCGAGGAUGGAAGGAGGAAGAUGGACGGUUGACCUGGUCAGGCUGUCUCCCACAACCUCUGACCGUUCCCCUCCAGGACCCUCAGAGAGAUCUGCAGGUGAUGAACACGACAGUCAUCGCUCUCGGGUCUCAUCAGAAAGAAUCAAGCAUGAAGUCAAAGGAAAGACCUUUCAAGAUCAAGAGGAAACAAGUUCAGAAGAGAAAAACCAAGAAAAGGAUGGGAGG